rnacentral:rRNA from 1 species
CCUACGGGUGGCAGCAGUAGGGAAUAUUGCUCAAUGGGGGAAACCCUGAAGCAGCAACGCCGCGUGGAGGAUGAAGGUUUUCGGAUUGUAAACUCCUUUUGUUAGAGAAGAUAAUGACGGUAUCUAACUAAUCAUCCCCGGCUAACUCCGUGCCAGCAGCCGCGGUACUACGGAGGGUGCACUCGUUACCCGGAAUUACUGGGCGUAAAGAGCGCGUAGGCGGGAUAGCAAGUCAGAUGUGAAAGCCUAUGGCUUAACCAUAGAACUGCAUUGGAAACUGUGAUUCUAGAGUAUGGGAGAGGUAGGUGGAAUUCUUGGUGUAGGGGUAAAAUGCGUAGAGAUAAAGAGGAAUACUCAUUGCGAAGGCGACCUGCUAGAAUAUAACUGACGCUGAGGCGCGAAAGCGUGGGGAGCAAACAGGAUUAGAUACCCGGGUAGUC